rnacentral:rRNA from 1 species
UGGAUCCAGACUUUGAUCAUGGCUCAGGAUGAACGCUAGCUACAGGCUUAACACAUGCAAGUCGAGGGGAAACGAUAGAGAAAGCUUGCUUUUUCUAGGCGUCGACCGGCGCACGGGUGAGUAACGCGUAUCCAACCUGCCCAUCACUUGGGGAUAACCUUGCGAAAGUAAGACUAAUACCCAAUGAUAUCUCUAGAAGGCAUCUGAAGGAGAUUAAAGAUUUAUCGGUGAUGGAUGGGGAUGCGUCUGAUUAGCUUGUUGGCGGGGUAACGGCCCACCAAGGCGACGAUCAGUAGGGGUUCUGAGAGGAAGGUCCCCCACAUUGGAACUGAGACACGGUCCAAACUCCUACGGGAGGCAGCAGUGAGGAAUAUUGGUCAAUGGACGAGAGUCUGAACCAGCCAAGUAGCGUGCAGGAUGACGGCCCUAUGGGUUGUAAACUGCUUUUAUAAGGGAAUAAAGUGAGUCUCGUGAGACUUUUUGCAUGUACCUUAUGAAUAAGGACCGGCUAAUUCCGUGCCAGCAGCCGCGGUAAUACGGAAGGUCCGGGCGUUAUCCGGAUUUAUUGGGUUUAAAGGGAGCGUAGGCCGGAGAUUAAGCGUGUUGUGAAAUGUAGACGCUCAACGUCUGCACUGCAGCGCGAACUGGUUUCCUUGAGUACGCACAAAGUGGGCGGAAUUCGUGGUGUAGCGGUGAAAUGCUUAGAUAUCACGAAGAACUCCGAUUGCGAAGGCAGCUCACUGGAGCGCAACUGACGCUGAAGCUCGAAAGUGCGGGUAUCGAACAGGAUUAGAUACCCUGGUAGUCCGCACGGUAAACGAUGGAUGCCCGCUGUUGGUCUGAAUAGGUCAGCGGCCAAGCGAAAGCAUUAAG